rnacentral:rRNA from 1 species
GCCAACAUCCUAGCCUCCCCCAUAACCAAUGAAUCAUUAAGCCUCAAUCAAUUAAUUAAAACAUUCCUCAAAUCUAGUAAAGGCGAUUAAAAAAUUAUUAAGAGCAAUAAAAAUAGUACCGCAAGGGAAAGAUGAAAUAAAAAUGAAACAAAUAUUAAGCACAAAAAAGUAGAGAUAGGCCCUCGUACCUUUUGCAUCAUGGUCUAACAAGUCUAAUCAAGCACAACGAAUUAUAGUUUGACCCCCCGAAACUAAGUGAGCUACUUCAGGGCAGCUUAUUGAGCAAACCCGUCUCUGUUGCAAAAGAGUGGGAAGACCCUCAAGUAGAGGUGAUAGACCUAACGAACUUAGUGAUAGCUGGUUACUCAAGAAAAGGAUUUAAGUCCCGCCUAAAGUCUACGUAAUACAACAAAAUAACACUUUGACUUUAGAGUAAUUCAAAUAAGGUACAGCCUAUUUGAAAUAGGAUACAACCUAUACUAAUGGGUAACUUAUUAGUUCAAUAAUUAAGUGGGCCUAAAAGCAGCCACCUUUAAAAUAGCGUCAAAGCUUUAUUAUAUCCUUCACCUAAUAACCUAAAUUAAUCAAAACCCUUUAACCAUAUUGAGUAAUUCUAUACCCCUAUAGAACCUAUAAUGUUAAAACUAGUAACAAGAAGAAGCCCUUCUCUUAAAUGCAGACGUAAAUCAGUAAGGACAACCCGCUGAUGAUCAACACCCAUGAAACCAUAUUAGUAACUUCACAAGAAAACCCUAAUACAACAUGUGUUAACCUGACACAAGAGCAUUUCAAGAAAGAUUAAAAGAAAAAGAAGGAACUCGGCAAAUAUUAACCUCGCCUGUUUACCAAAAACAUCGCCUCUUGAUUAGUUAUAAGAGGUCCAGCCUGCCCAGUGACUCUGUUCAACGGCCGCGGUAUCCUAACCGUGCGAAGGUAGCGUAAUCACUUGUUCUUUAAAUGAGGACUUGUAUGAAUGGCACCACGAGGGUUAUACUGUCUCCUUUUUUCAAUCAGUGAAACUAAUCUCCCCGUGAAGAAGCGGGGAUAUAUAUAUAAGACGAGAAGACCCUAUGGAGCUUUAAACUAAAUAACAAAUACUAUUUCUCACUUACUUUCAGAACAUAUACAUCUACCUUAGCAUUAUGAUUAUUAGUUUUAGGUUGGGGUGACCGCGGAGCAAAAACCAACCUCCACAUUGAACGGAACCUAUUCCUGAGCAAAAAGCUACAACUUUAAGCACCAAUAAAUUGACAUCAAUUGACCCAAUAUUUUGAUCAACGAACCAAGUUACCCUAGGGAUAACAGCGCAAUCCACUUCAAGAGCUCCUAUCGACAAGUGGGUUUACGACCUCGAUGUUGGAUCAGGGUAUCCCAGUGGUGCAGCCGCUACUAAAGGUUCGUUUGUUCAACGAUUAAAACCCU